rnacentral:rRNA from 1 species
UAGGACGAUCAUAGUGGAUUGGUCACACCCGAACUCAUUUCGAACUCGGAAGUUAAGCAAUCUUACGUUCCUGAUUGUACUGCAUUGUUGUGCGGGAACUCAGGAAAGUUGUCCUUU